rnacentral:siRNA from 1 species
AGGUCAAAAUUUAGAGUCGACAA